AACGAACGCUGGCGGCAGGCUUAACACAUGCAAGUCGAACGCCCCGCAAGGGGAGUGGCAGACGGGUGAGUAACGCGUGGGAAUCUACCCAUCUCUGCGGAAUAGCUCCGGGAAACUGGAAUUAAUACCGCAUACGCCCUACGGGGGAAAGAUUUAUCGGGGAUGGAUGAGCCCGCGUUGGAUUAGCUAGUUGGUGGGGUAAAGGCCUACCAAGGCGACGAUCCAUAGCUGGUCUGAGAGGAUGAUCAGCCACAUUGGGACUGAGACACGGCCCAAACUACUACGGGAGGCAGCAGUGGGGAAUAUUGGACAAUGGGCGCAAGCCUGAUCCAGCCAUGCCGCGUGAGUGAUGAAGGCCUUAGGGUUGUAAAGCUCUUUCACCGGUGAAGAUAAUGACGGUAACCGGAGAAGAAGCCCCGGCUAACUUCGUGCCAGCAGCCGCAGUAA
rnacentral:rRNA from 1 species